rnacentral:lncRNA from 1 species
UAGCGUGGACUGAGUUUUCCACGUAUUCCAAAUCGCAUCACCCCUUUAGUAGGAGACACUUUCAGAAACACAUGAUCUCCGACCUGAAAUUUCAAUUCCCUUCUUCUAUUAUCUGCAUAACUUUUCUGUCUGCUCUGAGCUAUCUGGAGGCGUUCCCUGAUCAGCUGGAUCUUCUCUACUGUUUGUUGCACAAUCUCGGGGCCCAUAAUUUUUCUU